CCAGGGUUGGGGCUUACAAGGCAGCACUCUGGGUCAUCUCCACCAUCACUUGGGCUCUGUUCCUUCUCACCCUCCUCACUCAGGGCACAGGGUACUGGGCCCAGUCUGCCCUGACUCAGCCUUCCUCGGUGUCUGGGACUUCAGGACAGAUGGUCACCAUCUCCUGUGCUGGAACCAGCAGUGAUGUUGGGUCUGGAAACUAUGUCUCCUGGUACCAACAUAUCC